rnacentral:rRNA from 1 species
GACGAACGCUGGCGGCGUGCUUAACACAUGCAAGUCGAGCGGUAAGGCCCUUUUGGGGGUACACGAGCGGCGAACGGGUGAGUAACACGUGGGUGACCUGCCUUCAGCUUCGGGAUAAGCUUGGGAAACUGGGUCUAAUACCGGAUAUGACUUGGCCUCGCAUGGGGUUGGGUGGAAAGUUUUUUCGGCUGGAGAUGGGCCCGCGGCCUAUCAGCUUGUUGGUGGGGUGAUGGCCUACCAAGGCGACGACGGGUAGCCGGCCUGAGAGGGCGACCGGCCACACUGGGACUGAGAUACGGCCCAGACUCCUACGGGAGGCAGCAGUGGGGAAUCUUGCGCAAUGGGCGGAAGCCUGACGCAGCGACGCCGCGUGGGGGAUGACGGCCUCG